rnacentral:rRNA from 1 species
CCUACGGGAGGCAGCAGUGGGGAAUAUUGCACAAUGGGCGCAAGCCUGAUGCAGCGACGCCGCGUGAGGGAUGAAGGCCUUCGGGUUGUAAACCUCUUUCAGCAGGGACGAAGCGAAAGUGACUGUACCUGCAGAAGAAGCGCCGGCUAACUACGUGCCAGCAGCCGCGGUAAUACGUAGGGCGCAAGCGUUGUCCGGAAUUAUUGGGCGUAAAGAGCUCGUAGGCGGUCUGUUGCGUCGGGAGUGAAAACCCGGGGCUCAACCCCGGGCCUGCUUUCGAUACGGGCAGACUUGAGUGUGGCAGGGGAGACUGGAAUUCCUGGUGUAGCGGUGGAAUGCGCAGAUAUCAGGAGGAACACCGGUGGCGAAGGCGGGUCUCUGGGCCACUACUGACGCUGAGGAGCGAAAGCGUGGGGAGCGAACAGGAUUAGAUACCCUU